AUCGAACGCUGGCGGCAUGCCUAACACAUGCAAGUCGAGCGGAGCGGCGGACGGGUGAGUGAUGCCUAGGAAUCUGCCUGGUUGUGGGGCAUAACGUCCGGAAACGGGCCCUUAUACCGCAUACUAUCAGAUGAGCUUUGGUCGGAUUAGCUGGUUGGUGGGGUAAAGGCUUACCAAGGUGACGAUCCGUAACAGGUCUGAGAGGAUGAUCAGUCACACUGGAACUGGGACACGGUCCAGACUCCUACGGGAGGCAGAAGUUGGGAAUCUUGGACAAUGGGCGAAAGCCUGAUCCAGCAAGGCCGCGUGUGUGAAGAGGGUCUUCGGAUUGUAAAGCACUGUAAGUUGGGAGGCGUUACCAAAAGAAUAAGCAACGGCUAACUUCGUGCCAGCAGCCGCGGUAAUAC
rnacentral:rRNA from 1 species